GGGAAACUGAGUGCUUAUUGCACCACAUGUGUUUUUCUUUGAAACAAACUUGCUUUGGCGGUGGGCCCAGCCUGCCGCCAGAGGUCUAAACUUACAACCAAUUUUUUAUCAACUUGUCACACCAGAUUAUUACUAAUAGUCAAAACUUUCAACAACGGAUCUCUUGGUUCUCGCAUCGAUGAAGAACGCAGCGAAAUGCGAUACGUAAUAUGAAUUGCAGAUAUUCGUGAAUCAUCGAAUCUUUGAACGCACAUUGCGCCCUCUGGUAUUCCGGAGGGCAUGCCUGUUUGAGCGUCGUUUCUCCCUCAAACCGCUGGGUUUGGUGUUGAGCAAUACGACUUGGGUUUGCUUGAAAGACGGUAGUGGUAAGGCGGGAUCGCUUUGACAAUGGCUUAGGUCUAACCAAAAACAUUGCUUGCGGCGGUAACGUCCACCACGUAUAUCUUCAAACUUUGACCUCAAAUCAGGUAGGACUACCCGCUGAACUUAAGCAUAUCAAUAAGGCGGGAGGA
rnacentral:rRNA from 1 species